CCUGAGCUGAAGGCAGACGCUUAACCGCUGUGCCACCCAGGCACCCUGGUAUUACCAGUUCUUGUCUGUUUUGUUUUCCAGAGUUAAGGUAACAUUUUCUUUUCUCUUUUCUCUCAAGCUAUCUGUAACUUACCUUAAAUUGGCAAAUUACACCUCUGUAAAUAGAAACAAAGUAGAAAAGUGGUUGCCAGGGGCCGCAGGGAGAGUUUGCGAAGAGGGUAUGAACUUUCAGUUUCAGGAUGAAUGAGAUCUGAAGAUCUGAUAAACAAUGUGGAGGGUAUAGUCCAUAACACUGUCUUGGGCAACUGAAAUCUGCGAAGAGAGUAGAACUUAAAUGUUUUCACACACAAAACAGGUAACUAUGUGAGGUGAUGGGUGUGUUAAUUCACCCCAUGGGGAAGCUUCACAAUGUGUAUGCAUAUCAAACCAUCACCUGUAUACUUUAAAUGCCUUACGAUUUGUCAAUUAUACCUCAGUAAAGCUGAACACAAAAUCACAAGACAAUCUGACCAAUGGGGGAAAACACUGACUUAAACCUGCAUAGCAAACUUUGCUCUCAUUUACUGUGUUUCCCCUGGUAACCUCCCAUAACUGGCUUCCUCCCUCCCCUUUCCCUAUUAAGAUAGUAUUUAAUCCUGGCUUCUGAGCCCCCCACCCCAGGGAGUUAAUCUUUUUCCCCCUGGGUAUCUCCCAUGUACGAAUGUGGUAUACAUGUUAAUACAACUGUUAGUUUUUCUCUCUUUUAUUACAGGGACCUCAGUCAAAAACUCAGAAGGGUAGAGGAAAAUUAUUUUUCCUUCACUGUACCAGCCUUUAGCAAGAACCCUAAGUUGGUUUAGCAAGAAUCCCCCCUUGCCCUUGAUGUCCCUCUGAGUGGUCUCCCACUCACGGACCUCCCCUCCGUUGCCCCUUGGCUAUGAAUUCCCACUUGUCUGUGCUCUGUCGGGACUGGAGCUCAGGUCUCUGCUCUCCUAUCGCGGUAGUUCCUGGAUGAAAUUUGCCAUCACCUCUUUACCUGUGUCUGAUUCUGGUUUUCUUUGACACCAAUAACAUCUGGAAGUGCUCGCUUUCCUUCUCACCAAGAUCCGCUAAUCAUCUUUUUUUUUUUUUCCUGAAUUUGCUUAUUUGACUCCUUUUAUUUCCUCUCACUCAUUCAGCAAAGGUGGUCCUUUGGGAGGAAGAGAAGCAAUUCCUCAGAGGGAGGGUAGUGCUGGUCCAGCAAGUGGGGGACGGUGGGCACACGGAAUAAUACACCCCCGUGAUGCUCGCUCUGCCUUAAGCAGGUCACGCUCUUGUCCUUGUCUCCCUUUCCUCGUUACAGCGCGUCAACUCUAGUAUUUCUUAUUUUUCUCAUAUUGUAACUGAGUCCUUCUUUUAUAAUAACUCAUGUUAAGGGGGGAGUUGGCUGUGUCAGGCCAGAAAGUAAAUUGCUGACAGUUUGUAAAUAUGCUAAAGGGGCUUUAGUUUUGUCCUUAGAACACCUGGGAGCUAUUGACUGAAACAGUCUGACAAGGGAGAUGUGUGGUCACAUUUCUGCUUCACUCACGAAGUCAUUCAGCAAAUACCACGUGUCUGUGGAUUCCGAGCAUUGUUCUAAGCGCUGGGAUUCCUACAGCCAAGGGACAAAAAGCCGUGCCUUCUUGGAGCACCCAGUCCGUUCUACCUUUAAAAUACAUCCAGAAUUCCACCACAUCCACUGAUGCCAGCCCGGUCUAAGCCGCUGUCAUCUCUUGUCUGGAUUAUGGCGUCAUGGCCUCCUGAGCGGUCUCCCUGCUUCUGCCUUUGCCCUACUUCAGUUUCUUCUCAACAAGGAGCCAGAGCGAGUCUGAGAAAAGGCAAGUCAGAAAAUGCCAUCUCUUGCUGCCCCUGCAUGCACACUGCUGCCUCUGUCCUCAGCUCCUACCUCCUUCCUCCUUGCUCCUUCUGCACCAUGCCUCCCUCUUUGACCUUUGCUCUUCUUUCAACACACCAGAUGUUCAGCACUUGCUCUUUUCCCUCCUCUUUACUGGAAUUAUGACCCCAGAUGUCAAACGGUUACCUCACUUUCCUCAGAUCUUUCCUCAGAUGCCACCUUCUCAGUGAGAACAUCCUGGCCCUCCAUCCGAUGUCGUGACCCUCCCCCCAGUCCUUAUCCCAUUUCCCCCUGUUUCAUUUCUUAGCUCUCAGCACCACAUGACAUACACUAUGAUUUACUUUUUUAAUCUUGUCUAUUACAGGUCUGUUACCCGCCCCCCCCACAUAAGCUCCAUAAGGACUGAAUUUUUUUUUUAAGUUUAUUCAUUUUAUGUAGUAAUCUCUACACCCAACGUGGGACUCAAACCUGUGACCCCGAGAUCAAGAGUCACUCUUCCAACUGAGCCAGAUGGUUCCCCAGGACUGAAUUUUCGUCAAUUGUUGUAUCUCAGUGCCUAACACAGAAGGUGCUUAGUGAACAUGUAACGCCUGAAUGGAAGAAUAAGUGAAUGAAAGGAAAAGAUUUGCGUUAAAGUCUGAUAUUCAUCAGCACACAGUUUUGCAGGGUCUACUGGGUACCAGGGACUUGCUAGUCAUUGGAAUCAUACUCAAGAAAAAGACUGUUUCAGAGUCCACUUACAGUCUGUGCUGAGCAAAAGGAUCUGAAACUAUCCAGAUCCAAAAAUAAAAUCAGGAAGUAUAGGGUGUAUGAAAACCUUAGGAAGGACAACAGUGAGAAAGCUUAUAAAAGAUGUCCAAGGCAUGGGGUAUCUAAGCUGCGCCCUGGAAGUUCAGGAAGAGCAAGUAAAGGUGAAGAGGUGACGAGUGACGUGGGGGGAGGGUGGAGAGAGCCAAGAAGUCACUGAAUCUCUGAGGCUGAGGUUGGCCCGAACUGAGGGAGUGGCUGACAAGUUGACUUCUGCGCUCAAACCUCUACCCAGAAUAACUAAACAAACAAGCCAGUGAUGACCAGUGACGCCCAAGUGAAUGAAAAGCAUUUCAAGGCACUCUGCACAGUCCUACUAAUUCUUGUGUCAUUGAAAAUGUAGAAUAAAGAAUGAAUACAAGAA